GACGUAGGGGGCUAGCGUUGUCCGGAAUUACUGGGCGUAAAGGGCACGUAGGCGGGAAUUUAAGUCAGGUGUGAAAGACCGCAGCUCAACUGCGGGGUUGCACUUGAAACUGGAUUUCUUGAGGGCAGGAGAGGAAAGUGGAAUUCCUGGUGUAGCGGUGAAAUGCGUAGAAAUCAGGAGGAACACCGGUGGCGAAGGCGACUUUCUGGACUGACCCUGACGCUGAGGUGCGAAAGCGUGGGUAGCAAACAGG
rnacentral:rRNA from 1 species